rnacentral:rRNA from 1 species
AUUGAACGCUGGCGGCAUGCCUAACACAUGCAAGUCGAACGGAAACGAUGGAAGCUUGCUUCCAGGCGUCGAGUGGCGGACGGGUGAGUAAUGCUUAGGAAUCUGCCCAAUAGUGGGGGACAACCAGGAGAAAUUCUGGCUAAUACCGCAUACGCACUACGGUGGAAAGUGGGGGACCUUCGGGCCUCACGCUAUUGGAUGAGCCUAUGUCCGAUUAGCUAGUUGGCGGGGUAAAGGCCCACCAAGGCGACGAUCGGUAACUGGUCUGAGAGGACGACCAGUCACACUGGGACUGAGACACGGCCCAGACUCCUACGGGAGGCAGCAGUGGGGAAUAUUGGACAAUGGGGGCAACCCUGAUCCAGCAAUGCCGCGUGUGUGAAGAAGGCCUGCGGGUUGUAAAGCACUUUCAGUAGAGAAGAAAAGCCUAGGGUUAAUACCCCUGAGUCUUGACGUAACCUACAGAAGAAGCACCGGCUAACUCCGUG